rnacentral:rRNA from 1 species
GACGAACGCUGGCGGCGUGCUUAACACAUGCAAGUCGAACGGCAAGGCCCUGCUUUCGUGGUGUGCUCGAGUGGCGAACGGGCGAGUAACACGUGUGUAACCUGCCCUUGACUUUGGGAUAACUUCAGGUAACUGGGGCUACUCUCGUAUCGCAGCCCACGUUGCAUUGUGGGCGUUGGAUCGUCUCGGCGGUUGGGGAUGGACGCGCGGCUUAUGAGCUUGUUGGUUGGGUAGUGGUUGACCAAGGCUGUGGAGGGUACCCGGCCUGAGAGGGUGACCGGCGACAUGGGGACUGAGAUACGGCCCAGACUCCUACGGGAGGCAGCAGUGGGGAAUAUGGCACAGUGGGCGGAAGCCUGAUGCAGCAACGCCGCGUGCGGGAUGACGGCCUUCGGGUUGUAAACCGCUUUAGCCUGUGACGAAGCGUGAGUGACGGUAAUGGGUAAAGAAGCACCGGCUAACUACGUG